rnacentral:snRNA from 1 species
AUUGCUUCUCGGCCUUUUGGCUAAGAUCAAGUGUAGAAUAAACUCCCUGCCCUUUUGUUAAUUAGGUGCAUUCUCUUAUAACAUAUAAAAUGAUUUUAUUGAUAUCUGAUUUUACAUAAAUUAAAUAGGGCCUCUCUAUUUUAGAACAUAGU